rnacentral:rRNA from 1 species
UACGAAGGGGGCUAGCGUUACUCGGAUUGACUGGGCGUAAAGGGCGCGUAGGCGGUUUGUACAGUCAGACGUGAAAUUCCUGGGCUCAACCUGGGGGCUGCGUUUGAUACGUGCAGACUUGAGUUCGGAAGAGGGUCGUGGAAUUUCCGGUGUAGCGGUGAAAUGCGUAGAGAUCGGAAGGAACACCAGUGGCGAAGGCGGCUACCUGGCCUGAUACUGACACUGAAGCACGAAAGCGUGGGGAGCAAACAGG